UGACGUGAAACAAUGUCCUUGACCCUAGGGUUGGGAUGCUGAGCUGGAGGAGUGGGCCAAGUGGGUGAUCAGCUGCAACGCCAACUACCGGGUCCCAGCACAGCUUCAUCAACUUCUACCGCUUUGGCUCGGAAAUGUCAGUCAAAGAUGUUGUCAGUGCUUGGAGGCAGGAGGGUCGUCAGCCCUUUCUUGAGAGAGGCUGCAGGACACCUUUGGACAGAACUCGCUGCAACCGUAACACAAAUAUGAUGCAGCCACGACUGACCGCAAUGGCGUGCGCAGCGUUACAGUGCAGCAGCAUGCGGCAGCUUUUGUGCAUCUACGACAACAAGGCAGACCGAGAAACCACAAGCUCAUCUCCGACGGCUUUUAACUUUCCCAACAAGCUUGUCUCGUUAAAUUAUCAUC